rnacentral:rRNA from 1 species
UUCCGGUUGAUCCUGCCGGAGGUCACUGCUAUUGGGAUUCAACUAAGCCAUGCGAGUCGAGAGGGUUCGGCCCUCGGCUGACGGCUCAGUAACACGUGGAUAAUCUGCCCUUAGGUGGAGGAUAAUCUCGGGAAACUGAGAAUAAUACUCCAUAGAUCUAGGAUGCUGGAAUGCACUUAGAUUGAAAGCUCCGGCGCCUAAGGAUGAGUCUGCGGACUAUCAGGUAGUAGUCAGGGUAAAGACCUGACUAGCCUACGACGGAUACGGGUUGUGAGAGCAAUAACCCGGAGACGAUAUCUGAGACACGAUAUCGGGCCCUACGGGGCGCAGCAGGCGCGAAAACUUCACACUGUGCGAAAGCACGAUGAGGGAAUCCCGAGUGCCGACUCGUAAGAGUUGGCUGUUUCUCUGUCUAAAAAACAGAGAGAGUAAGAGCUGGGCAAGACGGGUGCCAGCCGCCGCGGUAAUACCUGCAGCUCAAGUGGUGGCCACUAUUAUUGGGCCUAAAACGUCCGUAGCCGGUUUAAUAAAUGCCGGGGUAAAUCGUGUAGCUUAACUAUACGAAUUCCGGGUAGACUGUUAGACUUGAGACCGGGAGAAGCUAGAGGUACUCCUGGGGUAGAGGUGAAAUUCUGUAAUCCUAGGGGGACCACCAGUGGCGAAGGCGUCUAGCUAGAACGGGUCUGACGGUGAGGGACGAAGCCCUGGGGCGCAAACCGGAUUAGAUACCCGGGUAGUCCAGGGUGUAAACGCUGCUUGCUUGAUGUUAGUUGGGCUCCGAGCCCAAUUAGUGUCGGAGAGAAGUUGUUAAGCAAGCUGCCUGGGAAGUACGGCCGCAAGACUGAAACUUAAAGGAAUUGGCGGGGGAGCACAGCAACGGGUGGAGCGUGCGGUUUAAUUGGAGUCAACGCCGGG